rnacentral:rRNA from 1 species
GAUAGUGAACCAGUACCGUGAGGGAAAGGCGAAAAGAACCCCGGCGAGGGGAGUGAAAAAGAACCUGAAACCGUGUACGUACAAGCAGUGGGAGCACGCUUAGGCGUGUGACUGCGUACCUUUUGUAUAAUGGGUCAGCGACUUAUAUUCUGUAGCAAGGUUAACCGAAUAGGGGAGCCGAAGGGAAACCGAGUCUUAACUGGGCGUUAAGUUGCAGGGUAUAGACCCGAAACCCGGUGAUCUAGCCAUGGGCAGGUUGAAGGUUGGGUAACACUAACUGGAGGACCGAACCGACUAAUGUUGAAAAAUUAGCGGAUGACUUGUGGCUGGGGGUGAAAGGCCAAUCAAACCGGGAGAUAGCUGGUUCUCCCCGAAAGCUAUUUAGGUAGCGCCUCGUGAAUUCAUCUCCGGGGGUAGAGCACUGUUUCGGCAAGGGGGUCAUCCCGACUUACCAACCCGAUGCAAACUGCGAAUACCGGAGAAUGUUAUCACGGGAGACACACGGCGGGUGCUAACGUCCGUCGUGAAGAGGGAAACAACCCAGACCGCCAGCUAAGGUCCCAAAGUCAUGGUUAAGUGGGAAACGAUGUGGGAAGGCCCAGACAGCCAGGAUGUUGGCUUAGAAGCAGCCAUCAUUUAAAGAAAGCGUAAUAGCUCACUGGUCGAGUCGGCCUGCGCGGAAGAUGUAACGGGGCUAAACCAUGCACCGAAGCUGCGGCAGCGACACUAUGUGUUGUUGGGUAGGGGAGCGUUCUGUAAGCCUGUGAAGGUGUGCUGUGAGGCAUGCUGGAGGUAUCAGAAGUGCGAAUGCUGACAUAAGUAACGAUAAAGCGGGUGAAAAGCCCGCUCGCCGGAAGACCAAGGGUUCCUGUCCAACGUUAAUCGGGGCAGGGUGAGUCGACCCCUAAGGCGAGGCCGAAAGGCGUAGUCGAUGGGAAACAGGUUAAUAUUCCUGUACUUGGUGUUACUGCGAAGGGGGGACGGAGAAGGCUAUGUUGGCCGGGCGACGGUUGUCCCGGUUUAAGCGUGUAGGCUGGUUUUCCAGGCAAAUCCGGAAAAUCAAGGCUGAGGCGUGAUGACGAGGCACUACGGUGCUGAAGCAACAAAUGCCCUGCUUCCAGGAAAAGCCUCUAAGCAUCAGGUAACAUCAAAUCGUACCCCAAACCGACACAGGUGGUCAGGUAGAGAAUACCAAGGCGCUUGAGAGAACUCGGGUGAAGGAACUAGGCAAAAUGGUGCCGUAACUUCGGGAGAA